GAAUGAACAGGCAAAAGCUCAGAUUUGAAACCCUCGGGAUUGUAAUCUGGAGACCUGGAUUUGGCACGCUGACCAAGUCUUCUGGAACGGAGCGCCAUGGAGGGUGACAGCCCCGUAGCAGCAGCCACUGUAAAUCCGGGUCGACGAGUCGAGUUGUUUGGGAAUGCAGCUCUAAGUGGGUGGUAUGCUCCAUCUAAAGCUAAAUAUUGGCGAGAGACCGAUAGCGAACAAGUACUGUGAAGGAAAGAUGAAAAGAACUUUGAAAAGAGAGUGAAAAAGUACGUGAAAUUGUUGAAAUGGAAGGCAAUGAGGUGCGAUUGAACCGGACGUUUGCGGGCAGGACAAAAGCGCAGGCCGCCUCGGCAUUGCCUGCGUGCAUACUGCCUCGCGGACUACCAGUUCUAACAACGCCUUAUUGCACCCGUCUUGAAACACGGACCAAGGAGUCUAUUGCCUAUGCGAGUGUUUGGGUGGCAAACCCAUACGCGCAGUGAAAGCACUCGGUUCGAACCCUUUGGGGGCAGAACCGGCCGAACUCUCCAGGGAGUAUUGAGCAAGCAGAGGUGAUGGGACCCGAAAGAUGGUGAACUAUGCCUGAAUAGGGUGAAGCCAGAGGAAACUCUGGUGGAGGCUCGCAGCGGUUCUGACGUGCAAAUCGAUCGUCGAAUUUGGGUAUAGGGGGCGAAAGACUAAUCGAACCAUCUAGUAGCUGGUUCCUGGCCGAAGUUUCCCUCAGGAUAGCAGAAGCUCGUAUCAGUUUUAUGGGGGUAAAGCAAUGAUUAGAGGUAUUGGGAAUUGAAACGAUCUUGACCUAUUCUCAAACUUUGAAUAUGUAAAACGUCCUUGUUUCUUAAGUGAACGUGGACUCUUGAAUGAAGAGCUUUUUAGUGGGGCCAUUUUUUGGUAAGCAGAACUGGCGAAUGCGGGGAUGAACCGAACGCGGAAGUUAAGGUGCCCGGAAGUGUACGCUCAUCAGACACCACAAAAAGGUGUUAGUUCAUCUAGACAGCCCGGACGGUGGCCAUGGAAGUCGGAAUCCGCUAAGGAGUGUGUAACAACUCACCGGCCGAAUGAACUAGCCCUGAAAAUGGAUGGCGCUCAAGCGUACGACCUAUACUUCGCCGCUACGGCUGAGCAGGCCGUAGCGAGUAGGCAGGCGUGGAGGUUGU
rnacentral:rRNA from 1 species